rnacentral:rRNA from 1 species
GACGAACGCUGGCGGCGUGCCUAACACAUGCAAGUCGAACGGACGAAGGAGAGCUUGCUCUCCCUAGUUAGUGGCGAACGGGUGAGUAACGCGUGAGCAACCUGCCUUUCAGAGGGGGACAACAGUUGGAAACGACUGCUAAUACCGCAUAACAUGUCGAGACCGCAUGGUUUUGACAUCAAAGAUUUUAUCGCUGAAAGAUGGGCUCGCGUCUGAUUAGAUAGUUGGUGAGGUAACGGCUCACCAAGUCGACGAUCAGUAGCCGGACUGAGAGGUUGAACGGCCACAUUGGGACUGAGAUACGGCCCAG